GCCAGGUGCGGUGGUGCACACCUCUAAUCCCAGCAACUAGGGAGGCUGAGGCAGGGCGGGGAUUACAAGUUCGAGGCCAGCCUCAACAAUUUACCUGGGCCUUGAGCAAUUUAGCAAGACCCUGUCUCAA
rnacentral:sRNA from 1 species